rnacentral:snoRNA from 1 species
AUGCAGGAACUAGUUACAACAUAGCUAUGAAGUGCUGUGUUGUCGUUCCCCCUGCUUAAAUUAAAAUGUUUUUUUUUUUUACUAUCCCUGUCUGUUUUGUUUUAUAUGCCAUAGCAGCUAGGGACGCUUGAUCUCAAACAU